GACGAACGCUGGCGGCGUGCUUAACACAUGCAAGUCGAGCGGUAAGGCCCUUUCGGGGGUACGACGAGCGGCGAACGGGUGAGUAACACGUGGGUGACCUGCCCUCAGCUCUGGGAUAAGCCUGGGAAACUGGGUCUAAUACUGGAUAUGACUCCACGGUGCAUGUCGUGGGGUGGAAAGCCUUGUGCGGCUGAGGAUGGGCCCGCGGCCUAUCAGCUUGUUGGUGGGGUGAUGGCCUACCAAGGCGACGACGGGUAGCCGGCCUGAGAGGGCGACCGGCCACACUGGGACUGAGACACGGCCCAGACUCCUACGGGAGGCAGCAGUGGGGAAUAUUGGACAAUGGGCGAAAGCCUGAUCCAGCAAUGCCGCGUGUGUGAAGAAGGCCUGCGGGGUUGUAAAGC
rnacentral:rRNA from 1 species